AUGCCGGGGUGCGGAGAAGAGAAGACGCACUCCCCGGCCAUGUCACAACAAGAUCAAGAUGUCGUGUGCUACUACAAUUACCUCUUCAUGGCCACCCUCCUGCUACUCCCCUUCCUCCUCAUCGCCAUGUUCAAACCGCCGAGAAAGCACAGCGGCGAGAACCUUCCCCCGGGGCCAUGGCGGCUGCCGGUCAUCGGCAGCAUUCACCACCUCAUCGGCGCACUCCCGCACCACGCCAUGCGUGACCUUGCCCGUCGGUACGACGCCCCGCUCAUGUUGCUCCGCCUCGGGGAGCUCAACGUCGUCGUGGCCUCGUCCGCCAUCGCGUCGAGGGAGAUCAUGAAGACCCACGACGCGGCAUUCGCGACGCGGCCACGGACCGCCACCCUCCGCGCCAUCACGACAGACGACCUCGCCAUCUCCCUUGCGCCGCACGGCGAGCAGUGGCGCCGCCUCAAAAAGCUAUGCGUCACCGAGGUACUCAACACGCGGCAAGUCCGGUCCCUCCGGGGAUGCCGCGAGGCCAACGCCGCCGCCCUAGUCUCCUCCAUCGUCUCGUCGCUAUCGUCUUCGUCGGAGCCCGUGAACCUCAGCUCCCUCAUCACCACCCACGUCACCAACUUGGCGGUGCACGCAUUGGUCGGGGAGCGGAACGAGGACCUCCGCGCAGAGUUCCUGGAGUGCCUGGACGAGGGCAUCAAGCUGGCCUCGGGGUUCAGCCUCGCUGACCUGUUCCCAUCGUCGCGCCUUGCACGUGCGUUUAGUAGCUCAAUUCGCCGGAUGGAGGCGUUAAACAACCAGAUAAGUCAGCUCAUCGGCCGGAUCAUUGAGGAGCAUCGCAUGAGGAGGUCGGCUGGCGGCGGCGACGAGGAAGAAGACAUCGUGGACGUGCUACUGAGGAUUCAAAAUGACGGUAGCCUCCACAUGCCUCUCAACGCCAGAACAAUCGGUUCCGUGAUUAUGGAUAUGUUUUCAGGAGGGAGCGAAACCUCGGUUACAACACUCCAAUGGGUGAUGGCAGAGCUCAUGCGGAGUCCUGCGGCUCUGCGGAGGGUGCAGGCAGAGGUGCGCAGCGCUUUCGCCGAGCAGACCUGCAUCAAGGAGGAUUCCCUGCAGGAGCUGCGUUAUUUGCAUCUAGUAAUCAGGGAGUCGCUUCGGCUACACCCGGUGCUGCCGCUGCUUCUCCCGCGGGAGUGCCAGGAAACGUGUCGUGUCCUUGGCUAUGAUGUGCCCGAGGGCGCCAUGGUGCUCGUCAACGCAUGGGCAAUCGGGCGGGAUAUAGCAAGCUGGGGCGCUGAUGCUGAGGAGUUCAGGCCAGAGAGGUUUGAGGAGGCUGGUGAUGCAGCGGCGGAUUUCAGGGGAACCAACUUCGAGCUCGUGCCAUUCGGCGCCGGUAGGAGGAUGUGUCCUGGGAUCACGUUUGGGAUUGCAGUCGUGCAGGUCAUCCUAGCGAGCCUGUUGUUCCAUUUCGAUUGGGAGCUCCCUGGAGGAGGCGCCGAUGGGCUAGACAUGGCGGAGGAGCUCGGGAUGACAGCCAGGAGGAAGAACGACCUGUGGCUGCAUGCCACCGUUCAUGUGCCUGCUCCUAAUCCAUGA
rnacentral:rRNA from 1 species